ACACACACUUUAUUGUGGUGUGAUCCGUUUAGUGGGGAAACAGCAACUUCAAGCUGUAAUUCACCAGGGCAAGGCUGAAGAUAUAAAUACAAGUGUGUAGGGAGGCAGGGGGAGAAACAGAAGAAACCGAUACCACCGUGCCUUUAGUCUCUGGUGUGCAAAGGACAUGCAAGCUCUUUUUUAAAAAAUGGAUGAACACCAUCUGCCAUUGAGGGAGCAACCAGCAAGUCUAGACAAAGGUAAGAUGUGCUGCGAUAGUCACAGUGAAUUGCAGGAUGACUACAAACCUAAAUCUCCGGCCUUGAGAGAGAGGAUCCCCGCCCCCAGAGAGGUGAUGGCUGGAGGCCUGAGACCAACAGAGGAGUCCUUGAGCAGACCACAGGAGGCAGAGGGGGACAGGCGCAGCUUGAUGAUCACCUUGCCAAAGUGAAACGAGAUGUCCUGCUCUGUCUAUGACAUCACCACUCCAGAAAACGUGAUGGUUGCUGACAGGGAUACAAUGUGGUUUGUCAUAUGUGAUGAUAAACAGUGUCCUCAUCAGUGGAAGUAACUGGU